UGUCUCCAUGGAUUGUUUUUCCUCCAUUUUUAUUGAAACGUCCAUGAUGUGAUUAUUGUGAUUCCCAAGGACACAUUCUUUAAGCUCUUCAUCUUCAAUCACAGCAAAGGGAAAUUCAAUGAAAGCUUCUAGUUUCAAUCCUUUGACAUUAGUCUCCUUAACUUUGAGAUGAGUUUUGAAUUCAAGUUUAUUAGAAUCCUUGAUUUGUUGUUAUAGCAGAUUAUUGGGAUCUUAUUUGAUUAUUCUUUCAUAUUGUACUAUUAUUUCCUAUUUA
rnacentral:misc_RNA from 1 species